GACGAACGCUGGCGGCGUGCUUAACACAUGCAAGUCGAACGGAAAGGCCCGGCUUUGGUGGGGUACUCGAGUGGCGAACGGGUGAGUAACACGUGGGUAACCUGCCCUGGACUUUGGGAUAACUCCGGGAAACUGGGUCUAAUACCGGAUAGGAGCUCCGGCUGGAUGGUGGUGGUGGGAAAGUUUCGGCUGUUGGGUGUGGACUCGCGGUUUCUCAGUGUUGUGGUGGGGUAGUGGUUUACCAAGGCUGUGACGGGUACCCGGUGUGAGGGGGUGCGGGGACAAUUUGGGACUGAGACAGCGCCGAGACUCACGCGGGGGGCAGGAGUGGGAAAUAGUGCAAUAUGGGCGAACGUGUGACGGCGCCACGCCGCGUGGGGGAUGGGCGCCUUCGGGUUGUACUCCGCUUUCGCCGGUGGAGACGCGUGAGUGACGGUAAUGGGUAAAGAAGCACCGGCUAACUACGUG
rnacentral:rRNA from 1 species